AGAGUUUGAUUCUGGCUCAGAACGAACGCUGGCGGCGCGCCUAAUACAUGCAAGUCGAGCGAGAAGGUGUAGCAAUACACUUGUAAAGCGGCGAACGGGUGAGGAAUACAUGGGUAAUCUACCAUCGAGUGGGGAAUAACCAACCGAAAGGUUGGCUAAUACCGCGUACGCCUCCGAGUCUUCGGGUUCGGAGGGAAAGCCGUGCUGUGAGUACGGCGCUCUUUGAUGAGCUCAUGUCCUAUCAGCUUGUUGGUAGGGUAACGGCCUACCAAGGCUUUGACGGGUAGCUGGUCUGAGAGGACGAUCAGCCACACUGGCACUGCGACACGGGCCAGACUCCUACGGGAGGCAGCAGUAAGGAAUAUUGCGCAAUGGGCGAAAGCCUGACGCAGCGACGCCGCGUGGGGGAUGAAGGUCUUCGGAUUGUAAACCCCUUUCGGGAGGGAAGAUGGAGCGAGCAAUCGUUCGGACGGUACCUCCAGAAGCAGCCACGGCCAACUUCGUGCCAGCAGCCGCGGUAAUACGAAGGUGGCAAGCGUUGUUCGGAUUCACUGGGCGUACAGGGUGUGUAGGCGGUUUGGUAAGCCUUCUGUUAAAGCUUCGGGCCCAACCCGGAAAGCGCAGAGGGUACUGCCAGGCUAGAGGGUGGGAGAGGAGCGCGGAAUUCCCGGUGUAGCGGUGAAAUGCGUAGAGAUCGGGAGGAAGGCCGGUGGCGAAGGCGGCGCUCUGGAACAUACCUGACGCUGAGACACGAAAGCGUGGGGAGCAAACAGGAUUAGAUACCCUGGUAGUCCACGCCCUAAACUAUGGAUACUAAGUGUCGGCGGGUUACCGCCGGUGCCGCAGCUAACGCAUUAAGUAUCCCGCCUGGGAAGUACGGCCGCAAGGUUGAAACUCAAAUGAAUUGACGG
rnacentral:rRNA from 1 species